GACGAACCGUGCAAACGUUGUUCGGAAUCACUGGGCUUAAGGGCGCGUAGGCGGCAGACCAAGUCCGGGGUGAAAUCUUUCGGCUUAACCGGAAAAGGGCCUUGGAUACUGGUUUGCUAGAGGGAGGUAGGGGUCUGUGGAACUUCUGGUGGAGCGGUGAAAUGCGUUGAUAUCAGAAGGAACGCCGGUGGCGAAAGCGAUGGACUGGAUCUCUUCUGACGCUGAUGCGCGAAAGCCAGGGGAGCAAACGGG
rnacentral:rRNA from 1 species